AGCAACAAAUGCCCUGCUUCCAGGAAAAGCCUCUAAGCCUCAGGUAACAUCAGAUCGUACCCGAAACCGACACAGGUGGUCAGGUAGAGAAUACCAAGGCGCUUGAGAGAACCCGGGUGAAGGAACUAGGCAAAAUGGUGCCGUAACUUCGGGAGAAGGCACGCUGACACGUAGGUGAAGCGGUUUACCCGUGGAGCUGAAGUCAGUCGAAGAUACCAGCUGGCUGCAACUGUUUAUUAAAAACACAGCACUGUGCAAACACGAAAGUGGACGUAUACGGUGUGACGCCUGCCCGGUGCCGGAAGGUUAAUUGAUGGGGUCAGCGCAAGCGAAGCUCCUGAUCGAAGCCCCGGUAAACGGCGGCCGUAACUAUAACGGUCCUAAGGUAGCGAAAUUCCUUGUCGGGUAAGUUCCGACCUGCACGAAUGGCGUAAUGAUGGCCAGGCUGUCUCCACCCGGGACUCAGUGAAAUUGAACUCGCUGUGAAGAUGCAGUGUACCCGCGGCAAGACGGAAAGACCCCGUGAACCUUUACUAUAGCUUGACACUGAACACUGGUCCUUGAUGUGCAGGAUAGGUGGGAGGCUUUGAAGUGUGGACGCCAGUCUGCAUGGAGCCGUCCUUGAAAUACCACCCUUUAAUGGCUGGUGUUCUAACGUAGACCCGUGAACCGGGUUGCGGACAGUGUCUGGUGGGUAGUUUGACUGGGGCGGUCUCCUCCUAAAGCGUAACGGAGGAGCACGAAGGUUGGCUAAUCCUGGUCGGACAUCAGGAGGUUAGUGCAAUGGCAUAAGCCAGCUUGACUGCGAGCGUGACGGCGCGAGCAGGUGCGAAAGCAGGUCAUAGUGAUCCGGUGGUUCUGAAUGGAAGGGCCAUCGCUCAACGGAUAAAAGGUACUCCGGGGAUAACAGGCUGAUACCGCCCAAGAGUUCAUAUCGACGGCGGUGUUUGGCACCUCGAUGUCGGCUCAUCACAUCCUGGGGCUGAAGUAGGUCCCAAGGGUAUGGCUGUUCGCCAUUUAAAGUGGUACGCGAGCUGGGUUUAGAACGUCGUGAGACAGUUCGGUCCCUAUCUGCCGUGGGCGCUGGAGAACUGAGGGGGGCUGCUCCUAGUACGAGAGGACCGGAGUGGACGCAUCACUGGUGUUCGGGUUGUCAUGCCAAUGGCACUGCCCGGUAGCUAAAUGCGGAAGAGAUAAGUGCUGAAAGCAUCUAAGCACGAAACUUGCCCCG
rnacentral:rRNA from 2 species